UCGUCGUUAAAUCUGUCAAUAAAAAAAAAAAUUUAAACUCCUCUUCAAGAAACCCCCAACCGACUUUUUUUCUCCCCAAAUCAAACCCUAAAUCCCUGACCUCUCUCCCCGUUCCCACUCUCCUCUUCCCUUUCUCCCAUCGUCGACGUCCCCUCCCCACCGUGUGCCAGCGCUGGCCGGCCGGUAAAGUGACCCCUCCGUCAGAACCGCUAAAUUCCUGUCAGCAGUGGAAGUGAAAGGCAAAAAGCUGCCCAACAUUUCCUUCCUUCUCCUGUCUCCACUACAAGUCCACAAUCCACAUGAAGCAGUGCUCCACCGACCACCGAGGCGACGCCAUUGACAUCGAUGAGAAAGUGAAGCAGCUUAAGGAAUGCUUGCUCUCAACUUAUACAUGCAAGAAAAUGUGGAAAUCAACUUCCAGAAAUCAUUCUCUGUUGAAACAAAUGGAGCUUAAGAGAUACCCAGAAUCCUAUCCAUGAUGUUUUAUCUUAUUUGGUGGAAUAAUGGAUUUCCAUUGGACCUUGCACAAGUUUUUCAGUUAUUUCAACAUCUAAAUUCACAUAUCCAUAAAUUGUUUGUAGGGGGAAGUUGUACACUUGUUUUCAGUGAAAGGUUGAAGCUUGCUGUCUGAUUAGAUCUGAAAAUAAAGUAAAAUAAAAUAAAUCAGGUUGAAUGAUCCAAUUGGCUUUCAGUGUUGAAUAAUCAAAUGGGCUUUCAGUGUAAGGGAAUAAAUGUUUACUCGUAUUGCUAGUUAUUGAUGACAAGAUGCUCAAGAAACAACUAGACAAUGGGUUUAUGCAUUGCAAUUGAAAUUAUGGAAGUUGCUGUGAGAGCUUAUGUAGCAAGGAAGUCAAGGCAGAGCUGUCCUGGUUCUGUAGCUGAUCUUGUAAGGUGUGGCCAGCUAAGAUCAGAUAGAAGAAGCAUAUCAAGACCUUUCAAGUAUGAGGACCCAUUUAAUAAUCCAUUGGUGAAGGUUGGCAAGAGCAAUUCAACCGUAGACAUGUGUGGAAAGCUUUAUCGCUUAGCUCCAGUUACACUUAACCAAAGAACAACAAGCUAUCCAUCAGAAAAGGAGAUCGAUAGCAUACUAGUAGAAGCUCCAGUAACAUUUUUACUGAUUUUUGUUGAGUAUUAUUGAGUUUUUAAGGUUUUGUUGAAAGCUUUCAGGUAUAAUUCAUGGAUAACUUUCCCUUUUGUGUGUGGAAGCGAUUUCUAAUGAGAUGUUUUGAUCCCUAUGUACUAAAGGUAUAGUUGGUCAUUACCUAUUUUUUUCCAGUUUAGAUCAUUGAAAGCAGGUAUGAAAGAUGAGGUUGAUACAAAAUCUAAGCCAGUCUAGGCUGAGGCAAAAGUGGAAGACAAGUAGCUGCUCCAGAGGAUGCUGAAGCACUGGAUGAAAUGGAAACAGAAAAGAAGCGCCACUUAAAUGUUGUUUUUAUUGGUUAUGUUGGUAUAUGGCAUAUAUUAUGGUCGCUAAUGAAGAGAAGAGGGUUAAGGUACCGAAUUAUGGGGAAAUGCUGUUAUAUAAACUUCGAAAAUAUGUGUUGUAAGGAAAGGAAGGGCUGUCAACAUUCACAUGUUUUGUAGAUAUUUUAAGUAUUGUAUAUUAAAAGUACUUGUUUAUUUGAUUUGCGUGUAUUACCACAUGUUUGCAUGGAAUUUCUAACACAUGUAUUUUUUGUAUUUUUAUUUAAUAGAAUUCAUAAAUAAUUUUGUAAAAUAUUUUAUAUUCUUUUAUAAAUAAA